rnacentral:rRNA from 1 species
UACAGAGGAUGCAAGCGUUAUCCGGAAUGAUUGGGCGUAAAGCGUCUGUAGGUGGCUUUUUAAGUCCGCCGUCAAAUCCCAGGGCUCAACUCUGGACAGGCGGUGGAAACUACCAAGCUUGAGUACGGUAGGGGCAGGAGGGAAUUUCCGGGUGUGAGCGGUGAAAAUGCGUAGAUAUCGGAAGGAACACCUGUGGCGAAAGCGGAGCUCACUGG